rnacentral:sRNA from 1 species
UGCAGAGUAAAUGAUGGUAGUUGCAUUG